UACGGGGGGAGCAAGCGUUGUUCGGAUUUACUGGGCGUAAAGGGCGCGUAGGCGGCCACCGUAAGUCAGUGGUGAAAUCUCCGGGCUUAACCCGGAAACUGCCAUUGAUACUAUUUGUCUUGAAUACUUUGGAGGUAAGCGGAAUAUGUCAUGUAGCGGUGAAAUGCUUAGAUAUGACAUAGAACACCAAUUGCGAAGGCAGCUUACUACACAGUCAUUGACACUGAGGCACGAAAGCGUGGGGAUCAAACAGG
rnacentral:rRNA from 1 species